GUGUCAGCCGCCGCGGUAAUACGUAGGGGGCAAGCGUUGUCCGGAUUUACUGGGUGUAAAGGGCGCGUAGGCGGAACUAUAAGUCAGAGGUGAAAUCCUGCAGCUUAACUGCAGAACUGCCUUUGAUACUGUAGUUCUUGAGUGCGGAAGAGAGAGACGGAAUUCCAGGUGUAGUGGUGAAAUACGUAGAUAUCUGGAAGAACACCAGUUGCGAAGGCGGUCUCUUGGUCCGUAACUGACGCUCAGGCGCGAAAGCGUGGGUAGCAAACAGGAUUAGAAACCCCGGUAGUCC
rnacentral:rRNA from 1 species